GAUGAAGAACGCAGCGAAAUGCGAUAAGUAGUGUGAAUUGCAGAAUUCAGUGAAUCAUCGAAUCUUUGAACGCACAUUGCGCCCCUUGGUAUUCCAUGGGGCACGCCUGUUCGAGCGUCAUUUGUACCUUCAAGCCUUGCUUGGUGUUGGGUGUUUGUCUCGCCUCUGCGCGCAGACUCGCCUCAAAACAAUUGGCAGCCGGCGUAUUGAUUUCGGAGCGCAGUACAUCUCGCGCUUUGCACUCAGAACGACGACGUCCAAAAGUACAUUUUUACACUCUUGACCUCGGAUCAGGUAGGGAUACCCGCUGAACUUAAGCAUAUCAAUAAGCGGAGGA
rnacentral:misc_RNA from 1 species